GAGGGUGUGGCUCAAAUGGGAGAGCACAUGCUUAGCACGCACGGGGUCCUGGGUUCAAUCCCCAGCACCCCCU
rfam:Camelus ferus unplaced genomic scaffold scaffold838, whole genome shotgun sequence.